rnacentral:piRNA from 1 species
GGGACUGGAAAGAUGGCUCAGAG